rnacentral:rRNA from 1 species
AACGCGAAGAACCUUACCUACCCUUGAGAUGGCUUGGUGCUCGAAAGAGAACCGUAACACAGGUGCUGCAUGGCUGUCGUCAGCUCGUGUCGUGAGAUGUUGGGUUAAGUCCCGCAACGAGCGCAACCCUUGUCAUUAGUUGCUACAUUUAGUUGGGCACUCUAAUGAGACUGCCGGUGACAAACCGGAGGAAGGUGGGGAUGACGUCAAGUCCUCAUGGCCCUUAUAGGUAGGGCUACACACGUCAUACAAUGGAUGGUACAAAGGGUCGCCAACCCGCGAGGGGGAGCCAAUCCCAUAAAGCCAUUCGUAGUCCGGAUCGCAGUCUGCAACUCGACUGCGUGAAGUCGGAAUCGCUAGUAAUCGUGGAUCAGAAUGUCACGGUGAAUACGUUCCCGGGUCUUGUACACACGC